ensembl:snRNA U6 U6 spliceosomal RNA
AUGCUAGCUGCAGAAGCACAUAUACUAAAAUUGGAAUGAUACAGAGAAGAUUAGCAUGGCCCCUGUGCAAGGACGACACAUUAAUUCAUGAGCCAAUCUAUAUUUUG